GUGUGCAUAAAUGUCCUGGCUGAUGAUCUCAAGAGCAUCAACAAUGCUGAAAAGAGAGGCAAAUGCUAGGUUCUUAUUAGGCCGUGCUCCAAAGUUAUUGUCUGAUUCCUAACUGUGAUGAUGAAGCAUGGUUACAUUGACAAAUUUAAAGUCACUGAUGAUCACAGAGCAGGGAUAAUUGUUGUGAACCUCACAGGAAGUCUAAACUAGUGUGGAGUGAUCGGCCCCAAAUUUGAUAUGCAACUCAAAGAUCUAGAAAAAUGGCAGAAUAAUUUGCUUCCAUCCUGCUAGUUUAGGUUUGUUGUACUGACAACCUCAGCUGGCAUCAUGGACCACAAAGAAUCAGGAUGAAAACACACAGGAGGGAAGAUCCUGGGAAUUUUUUCUAG
rnacentral:lncRNA from 1 species